UGGAAAACUCUAGAGAUAUUGUGCUAUUCUUAUGCAUUUGCCAUCCCCUUUUAUAUUCUUGUUCAAUUCAGCCGCCGUUCGGCGCAAGGUUCCGACGACUCUGGACGGCAGUCUCGAGCGACUGAUUGCUGCGUUCGAGAGUCCGCUGAAUGAUUCGAAACGGAGAAGAUCUAUAGCAGGAACCAGAUGGCUAAUCCUAUGUAUCAAAGCUAUCAACUAAUUCAGAGGGCCGUUCUCUACUGAUCUUCUCUCCAGUAGAGGUCAUAAUCUAAGGUGCCCUAGCUCAUAGACUGAGUCUUGAUGCUAUGGUCUGAUGAUCAUUGAAAUAAUUCCAGGAAACCCUUUGAAGCGCUUUGAUUAAAUCCUUAGGAAAUUGAUACGGUUUCCAAAAUGGAGCGCCGAAUUGAUUGGUCAAAUUUAUUUUAUGGGUAACCUUCGGAAGCAACCCCAGGAAUGGGAGGAACUCAAACAUAAACGAAGACGUAGCACGAAUAAUGUUCUUUGUAGCCAAAGACAUUUGAAGAAAGUCCAAUGAGGUCGGAACGAUGGGUCAUCCGUCCCUGAACAUAACCAUGUUAGACGUCGAAGUUUAA